UCUCACUUAAAACAGUAACAUCCCACCCCCGAUAGGACAAAUCUCCAAUCUACCAUUCUAAUCACUACUCCAUGCUGCUGCUAAUUAUUAUGACAUUUAUGGUGAAUUGAAAAAGAAAAUGGGCAUGUAUGUGUGCAUGCAUUGAGUCAGGACUCUAAUUGUUCCCACAGGUUAUCUGUCAGUUGUGAUAAGGGACUCUAAUAAGCCUAUUGCAAGGGAAUGUCUCCAGUGAUUUGCUCACCAGACUUCAGUGGAGUCUGGGAUAUACAGGAUGGCAGGUUAUCCAUUUCUCAGGUUUCCAUCCCUGGACCCCAUGAGGAAGGGAGUUAAGCACCUCCUCUCAUUACUCUACCAUGUGAAGGAUGUAUUUUGUGAAUCUGAGCCCUGUGUGCUUCAAAGUGAGUAGGUUGCAUACUGUAUAUACUGUAUAUAAAUUUUAAUCUACUGGUGGAUGAUGGCCUCCCUAAGAGUUACAUUCUUCAGCUAUCCUCAUCCAACUGGAUAUAUAAAUAUAGUACAUAUAUUGUGUAUAAUUACUUUUUUAUUGUUU
rnacentral:lncRNA from 1 species